ACCUGCAGAAAAAAGCACCGGCUAACUACGUGCCAGCAGCCGCGGUAAUACGUAGGGUGCAAGCGUUGUCCCGGAAUUAUUGGGCGUAAAGAGCUCGUAGGCGGUUUGUCGCGUCUGCUGUGAAAUCCCGAGGCUCAACCUCGGGUCUGCAGUGGGUACGGGCAGACUAGAGUGCGGUAGGGGAGAUUGGAAUUCCUGGUGUAGCGGUGGAAUGCGCAGAUAUCAGGAGGAACACCGAUGGCGAAGGCAGAUCUCUGGGCCGUAACUGACGCUGAGGAGCGAAAGCAUGGGGAGCGAACAGGAUUAGAUACCCUGGUAGUCCAUGCCGUAAACGUUGGGAACUAGAUGUGGGGACCAUUCCACGGUCUCCGUGUCGCAGCUAACGCAUUAAGUUCCCCGCCUGGGGAGUACGGCCGCAAGGCUAAAACUCAAAGGAAUUGACGGGGGCCCGCACAAGCGGCGGAGCAUGCGGAUUAAUUCGAUGCAACGCGAAGAACCUUACCAAGGCUUGACAUAUACCGGAAACAUGCAGAGAUGUGUGCCCCGCAAGGUCGGUAUACAGGUGGUGCAUGGUUGUCGUCAGCUCGUGUCGUGAGAUGUUGGGUUAAGUCCCGCAACGAGCGCAACCCUCGUUCUAUGUUGCCAGCACGUAAUGGUGGGAACUCAUAGGAGACUGCCGGGGUCAACUCGGAGGAAGGUGGGGAUGACGUCAAAUCAUCAUGCCCCUUAUGUCUUGGGCUUCACGCAUGCUACAAUGGCCGGUACAAAGGGCUGCGAUACCGCAAGGUGGAGCGAAUCCCAAAAAGCCGGUCUCAGUUCGGAUUGAGGUCUGCAACUCGACCUCAUGAAGUCGGAGUCGCUAGUAAUCGCAGAUCAGCAACGCUGCGGUGAAUACGUUCCCGGGCCUUGUACACACCGCCCGUCAAGUCAUGAAAGUCGGUAACACCCGAAGCCAGUGGCCUAACCGCAAGGAAG
rnacentral:rRNA from 1 species